AAUAGAUACCCGGGUAGUCCACGCCGUAAACGAUGAGUGCUAAGUGUUAGGGGGUUUCCGCCCCUUAGUGCUGCAGCUAACGCAUUAAGCACUCCGCCUGGGGAGUACGGUCGCAAGACUGAAACUCAAAGGAAUUGACGGGGGCCCGCACAAGCGGUGGAGCAUGUGGUUUAAUUCGAAGCAACGCGAAGAACCUUACCAGGUCUUGACAUCCCAUUGACCACUAUGGAGACAUAGUUUUCCUUUCGGGGACAACGGUGACAGGUGGUGCAUGGUUGUCGUCAGCUCGUGUCGUGGGAUGUUGGGUUAAGUCCCGCAACGAGCGCAACCCUUGUUCUUAGUUGCCAUCAUUUAGUUGGGCACUCUAAGGAGACUGCCGGUGACAAACCGGAGGAAGGUGGGGAUGACGUCAAAUCAUCAUGCCCCUUAUGACCUGGGCUACACACGUGCUACAAUGGACGGUACAAACGGUUGCCAACCCGCGAGGGGAGCUAAUCCGAUAAACCGUUCUCAGUUCGGAUUGCAGGCUGCACUCGCCUACAUGAAGACC
rnacentral:rRNA from 1 species